UGAGGAAUAUUGCGCAAUGGGGGCAACCCUGACGCAGCGACGCCGCGUGAGUGAGGAAGGCCUUCGGGUCGUAAAGCUCUGUCAAGAGGGAAGAAGUGCAUGGUGGUUAAUAUCUGUCAUGUUUGACGGUACCUCUAAAGGAAGCACCGGCUAACUCCGUGCCAGCAGCCGCGGUAAUACGGAGGGUGCAAGCGUUGUUCGGAAUCACUGGGCGUAAAGGGCGCGCAGGCGGCCUGAUCAGUCAGAUGUGAAAGCCCACGGCUUAACUGUGGAAGUGCAUUUGAAACUGUCAGGCUUGAGUACCAGAGGGGAAAGUGGAAUUCCCGGUGUAGAGGUGAAAUUCGUAGAUAUCGGGAGGAAUACCGGUGGCGAAGGCGACUUUCUGGCUGGAUACUGACGCUGAGGCGCGAAAGCGUGGGGAGCAAACAG
rnacentral:rRNA from 1 species